ACUCCUACGGGAGGCAGCAGUCGGGAAUAUUGGACAAUGGGCGAAAGCCUGAUCCAGCAAUACCGCGUGUGUGAAGAAGGCCUGCGGGUUGUAAAGCACUUUCAGUUGGGAAGAUAAUGACGUUACCAACAGAAGAAGCACCGGCUAACUCCGUGCCAGCAGCCGCGGUAAUACGGAGGGUGCAAGCGUUAAUCGGAAUUACUGGGCGUAAAGCGCACGUAGGCGGUUUACU
rnacentral:rRNA from 1 species